GGCCGCGUAGCUCAGCUGGUAGGGCGCUCGAGGCACUAAAGUGAGAGUGGUGACUGUGCGUGGGUUCGAAUCCCGCCGAGGCCG
rnacentral:tRNA from 1 species